rnacentral:rRNA from 1 species
UACGGAGGGUGCAAGCGUUAUCCGGAUUCACUGGGUUUAAAGGGUGCGUAGGUGGACAGGUAAGUCAGUGGUGAAAUCCUGUAGCUUAACUACAGAACUGCCAUUGAUACUAUUUGUCUUGAAUACCCUGGAGGUGAGCGGAAUAUGUCAUGUAGCGGUGAAAUGCUUAGAUAUGACAUAGAACAUCUGUUGCGAAGGCAGCUCACUACGGGAAUAUAGACGCUGAGGCGCGAAAGCGUGGGGAUCAAACAGG